rnacentral:misc_RNA from 1 species
UUUACCAGGUUUGGGAAUAACAAUUUCAUCAGGAAGUGGCGCUAACUCUGGAAUAAUUGCAUUUCCAGGUUCACCCAGAACUAAAAUUCGUCCCAUUGGCCCCACAUCCCCAAUUUUUAACGCUCCUCUCCCUCGUUUAAGCUUAGAGGGUGGACAAUCUGACAAAUCCAGUUGAUGCCCUUCUACAGUUUGAAAAAUCGGUAGUCCUCGGACACGGAAUGCUUCUAACAGCUGUUGGAGAGUAGGAACGAUUCCUCGGAGGCGACUCACAUCAUUUCCUAAAGCAUCUCCAAAACCUCCUACUUCUAAAAAGUCUCGCGGC